rnacentral:lncRNA from 1 species
AAUUUGGAAAAUCAAUGUUGUUAAGUAGAGAUAUGAAAGAGAAAUAAAAAUUGAAGAUAAGUUUAAAAGUAUAACUCGAUCAUUAGUACUAAUAAUUCGUUAGGUCAAAAUCAUUGGUUCAAAAUGCUUAUACUUAAUUAUUAUUAUUAUUAGAUAUCCCGAUUCUUAAAUUCGCAUAGAUAAUUUUAUUUUUUAUUCAAAACGAAAUUAUUGGGGUGUUACAAUAGGUUCCCUUUAUUCUUCAAUCAUUUGCUUAAUUAUCAUAACGGGAAGUAAAAUAUAUAUAGGUUUCUUUGUAUUUGACAGUUGCACAAAAUUAUUUAAGAAAAAUGUCAAUGAAAUGACUGCACGUACAUGCAGCGAAUAACUUUGAUUGGGAUAGGAGUUUAUUACACAAUUUGAUUAAAUUGAAGAAAAGUAUGAUUAUCAAAAUUAAAAAUUCAGAAGUAAAUUACACUAAAACAUAAUUAGGUUAUAGGGACAUAUUUUUGAAAUAUUUUUAUAUAAGUGUCACAUUUAUGUUUAAUUUUUUUUUAAAAAUCUACUAACUCGUAAUAUAAAGCCUAAUCUAAUCAAAAAUAAAAUGUUCCUCUAUUCAACCAAUCCUAUCAAGUCCACUCAGUUCAAUUACAAAUAGAAAAGAAAAAGAAAAAGAAAAAUUGAUCACUAUCUCCCCUUUUCCUCAUCCACCGUCGCAGCCGACAAGAUAGGAUUCCGACAGCUUGAGUUCUGCCACGAAGAUCUCACAGGAACCGUAGAGGAUUAUGAUCGCUACGUGUUCCUCAGCCACAGGUUGCUGGCGGAGUGAGUGCCAAACAUCGAAACAGCCCCACAUAUAACGACCCCACAUAUAGCAACACUUUUAAAAAUACUUUUUUGACUCGUACCAACAUUUAAAAGUAUCGCUAUACACUGUUUUCGUUUUAGUGAAAUCCUUACCACUUUCUUUUUACCUAUAUUAAAUUUUAAAAUCUCUAGGCUUUAGCUUUACAUUGGUAUAAACUAUAUGAACUUUUUUUUUUUUGAAAGAUAAAUAGGAUGCUACCCGCUUUUUUUUUAUUUUAUUUUAUAAAUAAACUUGAUUGAAGAUGUAAAUCAAUUAGGAUUCUAAUUUGGGAUCUCGAAUAUUAAUCACCAGAGGCUAAUUAGGAGGGGG